rnacentral:rRNA from 1 species
CGAACGGUGAAGGGGCCUGCUUUUGUGGGUCCUGGAUGAGUGGCGAACGGGUGAGUAACACGUGAGUAACCUGCCCCCUUCUUCUGGAUAACCGCAUGAAAGUGUGGCUAAUACGGGAUAUUCUGGGUCUGUCGCAUGGUGGGCCUGGGAAAGAUUGCGCCUUUUUUGGUGUUUUUGGUGGGGGAUGGGCUCGCGGCCUAUCAGCUUGUUGGUGGGGUGAUGGCCUACCAAGGCGGUGACGGGUAGCCGGCCUGAGAGGGUGGACGGUCACACUGGGACUGAGACACGGCCCAGACUCCUACGGGAGGCAGCAGUGGGGAAUAUUGCACAAUGGGCGCAAGCCUGAUGCAGCGACGCCGCGUGAGGGAUGGAGGCCUUCGGGUUGUGAACCUCUUUCGCCAGUGAAGCAGGCCUGCCUCGUUUGUGGGUGGGUUGACGGUAGCUGGAUAAGAAGCGCCGGCUAACUACGUGCCAG